rnacentral:tRNA from 2 species
GCCGGAAUAGCUCAGUCGGUAGAGCAGAGGACUGAAAAUCCUCGUG